GGAGCCGUGCCUGAAAUAAAGGACCACUUUGAUAGAGUGAACUAUGGAGGUUAAAAUCCGCCCGACUCCU
rnacentral:tRNA from 1 species